CCUGGUUUCCGUGUUCAACGUUUGACCAUCCGUCUUAUUUAAAAAAAAUAUAAAAAAAAUAAAAAGACAAGUCAUGUAUAAAGUAUUAAUCAUGUUUUAUCAUCUAACAAUAAUGAAAAUACUAAUUAUAAAAAAAAUUCAUAUAAGACGGACAGUUAAAUAUUGGACACGAAAAUCAAGGGUUUAUCUUUUU
rfam:Oryza rufipogon genomic scaffold, chr03